CCUACGGGGGGCAGCAGUGGGGAAUAUUGCGCAAUGGGCGAAAGCCUGACGCAGCGACGCCGCGUGAGGGAUGAAGGUCUUCGGAUCGUAAACCUCUGUCAGCAGGGAAGAACGGUCACUGUGCUAAUCAGCAGUGAAUUGACGGUACCUGCAAAGGAAGCACCGGCUAACUCCGUGCCAGCAGCCGCGGUAAUACGGAGGGUGCGAGCGUUAAUGGGAAUUACUGGGCGUAAAGCGCUCGUAGGUGGUAUGUCAAGUCAAGGGUGAAAUCCCCGCGCUCAACGUGGGAACUGCCUUUGAAACUGGGAAACUAGAGUGUGGGAGGGGGUAGUGGAAUUCCAGGUGUAGGAGUGAAAUGCGUAGAUAUCGGGAGGAACAUCAGUGGCGAAGGCGACUAUCUGGCACAUAACUGACGCUGAGGAGCGAAGGCGUGGGUAGCAAACGGGAUUAGAUACCCGAGUAGUC
rnacentral:rRNA from 1 species